rnacentral:rRNA from 1 species
UACGAAGGGGGCUAGCGUUGCUCGGAAUCACUGGGCGUAAAGGGUGCGUAGGCGGGUCGUUAAGUCAGUGGUGAAAGCCUCCAGCUCAACUGGAGAACUGCCAUUGAUACUGACGGGCUUGAGUACAGACGAGGUUGGCGGAAUUGAUUGUGUAGCGGUGAAAUGCAUAGAUACAAUCAAGAACUCCGAUUGCGUAGGCAGCUAACUAGGCUGUAACUGACGCUGAGGCACGAAAGCGUGGGGAGCGAACAGG